CCUACGGGUGGCAGCAGUGGGGAAUAUUGCACAAUGGGCGAAAGCCUGAUGCAGCAACGCCGCGUGAAGGAAGAAGGGUUUCGGCUCGUAAACUUCUAUCAACAGGGACGAAAGAAAUGACGGUACCUGAAUAAGAAGCCCCGGCUAACUACGUGCCAGCAGCCGCGGUAAUACGUAGGGGGCAAGCGUUAUCCGGAAUUACUGGGUGUAAAGGGUGAGUAGGCGGCAUGGUAAGCCAGAUGUGAAAGCCUUGGGCUUAACCCGAGGAUUGCAUGUGAAACUGUUGAACUGGAGUACAGGAGAGGUAAGCGGAAUUCCUAGGGUAGCGGUGAAAUGCGUAGAUAUUAGGAGGAACACCAGUGGCGAAGGCGGCUUACUGGACUGUAACUGACGUUGAGGCUCGAAAGCGUGGGGAGCAAACAGGAUUAGAUACCCGGGUAGUC
rnacentral:rRNA from 1 species